rnacentral:rRNA from 1 species
GACGAACGCUGGCGGCGUGCUUAACACAUGCAAGUCGAACGGAAAGGCCCUGCUUUUGUGGGUUGCUCGAGUGGCGAACGGGUGGGUAACACGUGAGUAACCUGCCCUUGACUUUGGGAUAACUUCAGGAAACUGGGGCUAAUACCGGAUAGGAGCUCCUGCUGCAUGGUGGGGGUUGGAAAGUUUCGGCGGUUGGGGAUGGACUCGCGGCUUAUCAGCUGGUUGGUGGGGUAGUGGCUUACCAAGGCUUUGACGGGUAGCCGGCCUGAGAGGGUGACCGGCGACAAUGGGACUGCGAGACGGCCCAGAGGCCUACGGUAGGCAGUAGUGGGGAAUAUUGCACAAUGGGCGGAAGCCUGAUGCAGCAACGCCGCGUGUGGGAUGACGGCCUUCGGGUUGUAAACCGCUUUCGCCUGUGACGAAGCGUGAGUGACGGUAAUGGGUAAAGAAGCACCGGCUAACUACGUG